GGAAGCCCACGUCUGCAGAUUUCAAUUCUAUGGCAAAUAGCUGAAGUACUAUUGUAUUGAAUUGAAAUCUGCAAAUCUGGGUUUCC
rnacentral:pre_miRNA from 1 species